rnacentral:lncRNA from 1 species
CAGGAGACAUGCACGACCGAACACGUUGAAUGUCUCUUGGUAACACGUCAGAAGAUCUGUCUGGGUUUUCAUCAAAGUUGGACCAGGCUAUUUCACUGCAUCUCUGGAGAAGAGAGCUCCAGGAUCAUGCCAGUCUGAAUCUACCCAUAUCUGAACUAAUUUCUAGUGCUCCUACACGGCGGUGUAUGUGGUGUUCUGCAGAGGAUUAACACAAGAACAUAUCACCACACAACAGUAGAAGCGCUCCGUUCCGUACACACAAAUGCACCUUGUGAGCCAGAUAGGUGUGUGUUUAAAAGGAAAUGGGUUGCUCUAAACAGUGAUCACUUGAAUAUAUCAUGUGUACAGUGGAAGUCUGUGAGGCCCUCAUACUGUGGCCAUUACGCUGCAUAUGUUAGUAUUCAGAGGACUUCCUAAACAUUUCCCAUAAUUGACCUUAAAGGCAGUGUUACUAUAACCUGACAGGAACCAUUCUGCAUCUAGUGUGGCACUAUACUGGAUGUCAAUUGCAGUGGGAAGUGUCAAAUUCACACAUAUGGUACCUUACAUGGUGGAGGUUUAUGUUUACUCAAUCAGUGGUUUUCUUGGUUUGCUCUUAGAUGAACAAGGAUAAACUAAACUGUGAUUGCGCCUCUGACAGCAUGUUGUGGAUGGAAUUCGCUAAUUUAACUUGCGUCCGCUGAUAGAGUGGUUUAUUUGUGUGCGCUGUCUGCAUUGAAUCAGAGAACAUUUAGCACAGCAUCAGGUUAACGGUGCAAACCUACCCAAACAAUUGGUGGUGAACCCAAUUUGCAUGACGCAUUUCCCCAUUUUACAGGCUGGUUCUGAUUGCUGGGUAGUGGAGGAUGCAGGAGAAUACAGAGAACCGGUUCCACAUUUAAAAAAAAAAAGCUGUAAAUUAUGAUGUUCAGUUCCACUAACAAUUCUCAACACCGCUAUCUACUGCAUGAAACAGAAAGUGUGAUCAGUGUAGAACAAAUGACUUAUUUUUAGUGAUUUUAAAACAAAAAGUGCCAUAAGAGACAGUCCCAUUUUUUGCAAAUUACUGUUGAGUCGAUUCUUUUUAGUUAAUCAAAGAUGUGCAGCAUAACCAGUGUAGUCCAUUUUGUGAAUUAAUGAGUUGAUUCUUUUUAGUGUAUCAAAUACAUGCAAACUAAUUGAGACUUAAAUCUGUUUAGUUACUGGUUGGUUGUUAUUUUACCAGUGUUGAUUAGAGAUGCAACCUUAUAUCAGUAGUAUUUUGUACAAAUAAAUUACGGAUAACACAUUUUUGUACAAUGACUUGGAUGUUAGCACCACCUGGUUCUCUCAAAAACACAGUAGGAUUUUUCCAUUGGCCUUUGGAUUAUUGCACGAAACAAGCUCUGUGACCAAAGGUUUAUGAUUAUUACACGUUUUUUGCUCAUCAUGAUAAUCUUCACAAAUGGACACAACUUGAAUGAAUUUUGAAGCCUGACUGCAAGAAGACAAAAAGCUAAUAAAGCUUUUAUUUUUAUUUUUAUAGGCUAUAAACGAACUACACUGUGGUCACAAGACUUCAAUGUCAGCACAAUUAAGCUUUCAGUCUUUGUUUCAAAAACAUUUUCCCUCAAAGUUUGAGUUAGAAUUGUUUGUAAGAAUGUAAUUAAAACAUAAUGCAGCUGUAAAAGUGGACUUAUGAGUAGAUGAGUUUACAUUUUUGACAUGAUGACAUUUAAUGCAGACAACCUCUAGUCCCACUUUGGCACUUUUUCAGGAC